rnacentral:rRNA from 1 species
AACGAACGCUGGCGGCAGGCUUAACACAUGCAAGUCGAGCGCACUCUUCGGAGUGAGCGGCAGACGGGUGAGUAACGCGUGGGAAUCUACCCAUCUCUACGGAAUAACUCAGGGAAACUUGUGCUAAUACCGUAUACGCCCUUCGGGGGAAAGAUUUAUCGGAGAUGGAUGAGCCCGCGUUAGAUUAGCUAGUUGGUGGGGUAAUGGCCUACCAAGGCGACGAUCUAUAGCUGGUCUGAGAGGAUGAUCAGCCACACUGGGACUGAGACACGGCCCAG